UGGGGAAUAUUGCACAAUGGGCGCAAGCCUGAUGCAGCCAUGCCGCGUGUGUGAAGAAGGCCUUCGGGUUGUAAAGCACUUUCAGCGGGGAGGAAGGCGUUAAGGUUAAUAACCUUGGCGAUUGACGUUACCCGCAGAAGAAGCACCGGCUAACUCCGUGCCAGCAGCCGCGGUAAUACGGAGGGUGCAAGCGUUAAUCGGAAUUACUGGGCGUAAAGCGCACGCAGGCGGUUUGUUAAGUCAGAUGUGAAAUCCCCGGGCUCAACCUGGGAACUGCAUCGGAUACUGGCAAGCUUGAGUCUCGUAGAGGGGGGUAGAAUUCCAGGUGUAGCGGUGAAAUGCGUAGAGAUCUGGAGGAAUACCGGUGGCGAAGGCGGCCCCCUGGACGAAGACUGACGCUCAGGUGCGAAAGCGUGGGGAGCAAACAGG
rnacentral:rRNA from 1 species